ACGGAGGGGGUUAGCGUUGUUCGGAAUGACUGGGCGUAAAGCGCGCGUAGGCGGAUCGGUAAGUUGGGGGUGAAAUCCCGGGGCUCAACCCCGGAAUGGCCUUCAAGACUCCCGGUCUAGAGUUCGAGAGAGGUGGGUGGAAUUCCGAGUGUAGAGGUGAAAUUCGUAGAUAUUCGGAGGAACACCAGUGGCGAAGGCGGCCCACUGGCUCGACACUGACGCUGAGGUGCGAAAGCGUGGGGAGCAAACAGGA
rnacentral:rRNA from 1 species